rnacentral:rRNA from 1 species
UACGUAGGGUGCGAGCGUUGUCCGGAAUUACUGGGCGUAAAGAGCUCGUAGGUGGUUUGUCGCGUUGUUCGUGAAAUCUCACGGCUUAACUGUGAGCGUGCGGGCGAUACGGGCAGACUGGAGUACUGCAGGGGAGACUGGAAUUCCUGGUGUAGCGGUGGAAUGCGCAGAUAUCAGGAGGAACACCGGUGGCGAAGGCGGGUCUCUGGGCAGUAACUGACGCUGAGGAGCGAAAGCGUGGGGGGAGCGAACAGG